rnacentral:piRNA from 1 species
UGAGCCAAACGUGUUCUUCUGGGCAGGA